GCUAGAUCUUCCCCCGCGGCGCGCCUGGCCCCGGAUCGGGGAGGGAGAGGUGAAGGGGGGACAUGGCAGCAGGCGGACGCUGGGUGUAGGAGGUGGCAGCACAAACACGUCUACGGGAGGCAGGCGCCCUCCGCUGCGGCCCCGAUCCUGCUUCCCGUUGGCUUCGCCGGCAGCAGGAUCCAGACCCAGCCGAGGGAGAUGCCCCCGGACCCCCGCUGCUUUCGGUGCACGGCCCCCCGGGGGCAGGCGCGGAGGUUUCUCAGUCCGAGCUGGCCUCGGUGCGUUUGUGUGAGGUGCAUCGCUCAGGGCCCCUUGCGCGCUGCAUUUCUGCCCGGCUGAGCUCUGUGACAGGCCAGGGGCACCCCCCGGCCUGCAGCCCCGACCAGGCGCCGAGCUGCACUUUCAAAUGCAAAACCCUGGCACCGGUGUCACCUUAGCCGGACUUUGCCGCCUCACAUAACGUGCCAGGAGGUGUCCGGGCUUCCCAGCGCCAGGCACUGGGUUCUGAAUGAGAGAGGCUCCUUCCGCCUCGGCACACGCCCGGGGGAAUCAGAAGUGACAGGAUCCGCAGCCUGUGGUGGCACGAAGGCUCCGCUCUCAAUGAAAUAAUGAUGUUCACUGACAUAUAGCGAGUGCCUCCACGCGGAGCCAUGGGGGAGCAUGAUGCUAGCUUCGCCUCGGCUCACCCCGCCUCCCGGCUGUUAGCUAGCGGCUUCCAGGACUUGCACAUCUUUUAAGAACGACGCUAAACAGUAGGACAUGUGAGAAUCAUGAGUCCUGGAACUAAUUCCAUACAAAUCCAUCCAUCGCGAUUUCCAGAAAGAAAAAGGAGAAGUAAAGACUUGUCCGUUGUCACUCUGUAAACUCCAUGUCCACAUCCCCCCACUCCAAGGAAAGGAGCAGCUAAAGGCACAAGCUUAGCUCACAGUUGCUGAGGAGAUGACACAACACACUCUUUCUUUUUAACUCCCGCUUCAAUUUUUUCUGGUUCUUGGAGAAUGUGGAGUGCAGCUUUCCCAGGGCUGGUUGUUGGAGUUACGCUAUUAUAAACAGUAAACAAUCAACACAGGCCGUCCAAGGGCCACGUGACGUGUAAGCAAUUCCCCCAUGAUCUAUUAGAAAUAUUGUAAUUGGGGCAGAAAUCAUGUUUUUAGUGACUGCUCUGCCUCUAUGCAUCAGUCACUGCUGAGGAUUAAUGGCUGCUGAUGUUGCUGUGCUAGACAAUUCUGACUAACCCUACUGAAAAUAUAUAAUUCCUUGAAUGUAACCUAGGAAAGCAAUGCAGUAGGCUGGUCUAGGCCAAAUGGGCAUUGCUGUAGGCUCCCCCCACUUCUCCCCCCCAUUUUUUUAUGUACAGAGAUGACACUGAGCAGGGACAGGCUGUAUCUGGAAAUCUUCGCACUCUUUUUCCUUUUUGUGGCUAGACACAGCUCCCCAGCCGGGGAUUCCCCUGGGAUUGUCCAAGGUUCACAGUAUCCUCUAACUAGGAUCAGGCUAGAGAAAUGGUUUUCAGUCACACUAUUAACCACAGCCCUGUAGAUCUCGGUCUGAUUUAACAUCUCAAAGCUGAGACAGGAGAGCACCAAAAUCCUGUGUUCCUCUGUCAUUUGCCCUACCAAAUUCACAGCCCUGAAAAAUGCGUCAUGGACCGUGAGAUCUGGUGUCCCACCCGUGAGAUCUGGUCUUUUGGGUGCUUUUACCCUAUACUAGAACAGAUUUCAUGGGAGAGACCAGCAUUUCUCAAAUUGGGGGUCCUGACCCAAGAGGGAGUUGCAGGAGGGUCACAAGGUUAUU